UACAGAGGGGGCAAGCGUUAUUCGGAAUUAUUGGGCGUAAAGGGCGCGUAGGCGGCCAUUCAAGUGACGGGUGAAAGCCCUCGGCUUAACCGAGGAACUGCCUGUCAGACUGGAUGGCUUGAGACCGGGAGAGGUGAGUGGAAUUCCCAGUGUAGCGGUGAAAUGCGUAGAUAUCUGGAGGAACACCGGUGGCGAAGGCGGCGUCCUGGACCAAUACUGACACUGAUGAGCGAAAGCCAGGGGAGCAAACGGG
rnacentral:rRNA from 1 species